rnacentral:misc_RNA from 1 species
CAAGUGACCCCGGUCUAACCACCGGGAUGUUCAUAACCCUUUGUUGUCCGACUCCGUUGCCUCCGGGGCGACCCUGCCUUCGGGCGGGGGCUCCGGGUGGACACUUCAAACUCUUGCGUAACUUUGCAGUCUGAGUAAACUUAAUUAAUAAAUUA